rnacentral:misc_RNA from 1 species
CGCACGCCGUAGAGCGGCAAGGCCGGCUUAUGUUUCGAGAAUUCCUUGCGGUUGGCGUAUUCUGCAUCCUUCUCCUGAAGAUAACCGCUGUCCUUGAGGAGCCCGGGGCGGGGGGGCCGGCGGUGGCGAAGAUGCGGCCGCGAAAGCCGUCGCGCACCAGCUUCGGCAGAUAGCCGGAAUGGUCGAGAUGGGCGUGGGUCAAGACGACGGUANNNNNNNNNNNNNGACCGGCAAUGGUGCCCAGUUCAGCUCGCGCAAGUUCUUCAGGCCCUGGAAUAGGCCGCAGUCGAUCAGAAUGUGCUUUCCG